rnacentral:rRNA from 1 species
GUGAGGAAUUUUCCGCAAUGGGCGAAAGCCUGACGGAGCAAUGCCGCGUGAAGGAUGAAGGCCUAUGGGUUGUAAACUUCUUUUCUCAGAAAAGAAUUAUGACGGUAUCUGAGGAAUAAGCAUCGGCUAACUCUGUGCCAGCAGCCGCGGUAAGACAGAGGAUGCAAGCGUUAUCCGGAAUGAUUGGGCGUAAAGCGUCUGUAGGUUGUUUAAAAAGUAUUCUGUCAAAGAUUAGGGCUUAACCCUAGAUAGGCAGAAUAAACUUUUAAGCUAGAGUUUGGUAGAGGCAGAGGGAAUUCCCGGUGGAGCGGUGAAAUGCGUAGAUAUCGGGAGGAACACCAAAGGCGAAGGCACUCUGCUGGGCCAAUACUAACACUGAGAGACGAAAGCGAGGGGAGCAAAUGGGAUUAGAUACCCGAAGUAGUCC